CAGUAGCCGCGGUAAAACGAAGGGUGCAAGCGUUACUCGGAAUUACUGGGCGUAAAGCGUGCGUAGGUGGUGGUUUAAGUCCGUUGUGAAAGCCCUGGGCUCAACCUGGGAAUUGCAGUGGAUACUGGGUCACUAGAGUGUGGUAGAGGAUAGUGGAAUUUCCGGUGUAGCAGUGAAAGGCGUAGAGAUCGGAAGGAACAUCUGUGGCGAAGGCGACUAUCUGGGCCAACACUGACACUGAGGCACGAAAGCGUGGGGAGCAAACAGGAUUAGAUACCCCAGUAGUCCCUGUCUCUUAUAC
rnacentral:rRNA from 1 species